rnacentral:rRNA from 1 species
CCUACGGGGGGCAGCAGUGGGGAAUAUUGGACAAUGGGGGCAACCCUGAUCCAGCCAUGCCGCGUGUGUGAAGAAGGCCCUCGGGUUGUAAAGCACUUUCAGUGAUGAAGAACGCCUGGUGGUUAAUACCCAUCAGGAAAGACAUCACUCACAGAAGAAGCACCGGCUAACUCCGUGCCAGCAGCCGCGGUAAUACGGAGGGUGCGAGCGUUAAUCGGAAUUAAUGGGCGUAAAGCGCGCGUAGGUGGCUUGAUAAGCCGGUUGUGAAAGCCCCGGGCUCAACCUGGGAACGGCAUCCGGAACUGUCAAGCUAGAGUGCAGGAGAGGAAGGUAGAAUUCCCGGUGUAGCGGUGAAAUGCGUAGAGAUCGGGAGGAAUACCAGUGGCGAAGGCGGCCUUCUGGACUGACACUGACACUGAGGUGCGAAAGCGUGGGUAGCAAACAGGAUUAGAUACCCCGGUAGUC